rnacentral:lncRNA from 1 species
UUUUAUUUAUUAAAUUAAAAGACUUAAAAAUUAAAUAUAACUUAACUUUAAUUUUUUAAAUUAUAUUAAUUAAUUUAUUGUUUUAACUAUUAAAAUAAAACAUUAAAAAUAUGUUUUAAUUAAAAAUUAUAUUUAAAUAAUUUUGAAUAGAAAAAUUCAGGUAAAAAUAAAACUAGACAAAAUUUAAUAGAGAGUUAAAAAAAAUAAUAGGCAAAAGUUGCUGCUGAAGGCUCCGCACAAGUUCCUAAAGUCUCUGAAUGUUCUUCUCUUGUGAUAAGAUGAUCUGCAACAAGUGAAAGGUUAUAAGUUAAUCACAGGUAGAAUAGCCGACAAAAGAUAUGUAUCAUGCCAAAAACAUAACUUCAUUAUAAUUUGCCUUUUCCCAGUGGCAUAUUGUAAAUGAAAUAGCAAGAAUUUUGUCAAGACUAUCCAACAAAUGCAACAAUAGAUAAAAGCAAGAAUUUUAUCAACAGAAAUGGAAUGUGCUAUGCCACAUUUAUGGCUUUUCCUCAAUGAAAAGCUUCCCACGACAAUUAUGUCGAGUUUUGAAGGUGAAACCUAUGUAAAGUGCUAGGUUAAUCACUAAACAUAACAGGUUCUCUUGAGGAAAAGAUGUAAACCUCAUCAGUAAAACAAGAAGCAUCAGCAACUAAUUUGGUGACAAGAAUAGAGAGCAUCAUAAAAAAGAUUUUGUCUUCUUAUAUUAAAUAAAUAAACGAACCAUGGAUUUUAAGUUUUAACAUUUUAAUUAAAAUCAUGUUUGAUUUUUAUAUAUAAUUUUUUAUAGUUGUAGCAAUACUAAAAAAAAAACAAAUAAGACCAAAAUUUAACUAUUAAAAUAAUAUCAUUUACAAUCUAUAAGAAUUAUAUAUGAAAACUGCAAAAUAGGGUAUAUCUCUAUUUGAUUUAAAAUCAUUUCAUGAACUAGUUUCUAUGUUCAUAGGAGAAGAUCACUUAAUCUUGAUUGUGCUUAAAUAUGGUACAAGGCAUUUCAACAAUUUGAUUUAGAUCGUAGACAACAGGGGGGCUUAAACUUGCAGCUGUUCUAGUACAAAGGCAGCUUAGCUUAUGCUAUGUAGAUUAUUACAUAGGCUAUACAGGUAGGGUUGAGUGGCAGGAGCAAGGACUUGAGAGGUAUACAUGCUUGUACAGAUAGUAGAGAAGUGACACAUUUGGUCCAUCUAUUUUUUAGCAUUAAUGAUGAAAGUAAUAGGAGGGCCUUUGACGGGGAAGAGCUACCUUCAUCAAAGCUCUAAUAGUUAUUAAGAGUAACUAAUAUUUGAAUUUUGUUUCAACUGUUUGAACAAAAAAAUAAACUGGCUUCCUUCAUGAAUCGAGCCCCCUUGCUGCGUGUUUGUCAUCAUUUUGUACUGAUUAAAGAAAAUAUUUUAGCUACAAAUCAUAAGUUACAUAGAGUAACUUAACACUGCCAUCAUAAUAAUCUAGCACAAGAUAGUGUUAAAGGUCUUCAAGAAUUCAAGUCCAUAUAGUUUACAGAUCCCACAACUGUUCAGAGGGCCAUUUUUCAGGCAAGAGGGGGCAACAAGGAGCCUAUUUCAGACUAUUAGAUUUAUCAAUCAUGAUUUUUCAUCACUUCAUACCAAAUAAUGAUUCAAUUGAAUUUAGUAUAAAGUAAUAAAGAAACUGCUUGAAUAUAUUAUGAAGCUGCCUAUAUGUUCAAAAGGUUCAAUGUACCAAAUUAAUGAAGCAACAAAACGAGAAAUUAUUAAAUUUACUCUGACAUACCUUACAGACUCACUUGGAAGAUCCAGUACAAUGACCCCUGUGCUUAUCUAUAAUAUAUCUCUAUGUCUACGAAGAAUUAACAACUUGCUUUUCUAUGAAAGGAGGAACUAAAAAUCUUAAACACAUACUACUUUGACAUUUAUUUAAUACUAUACAUAUACAAAUAACACAAAGCAGAAACCAGGACAUCCUUCGUGAAAAAAGAGAGGAUAAACUGUCUCUUAUUAUUGGUUUUUUUUAAUUUCAGGAAAAUAUGGAUUAGAGUUGGUCCAAUACUGUUAUAAAUGUUGAAUAUUGGCAAUAUCCCACAUUAGGAAAAGAUAGAAAGGGAGGGGGUUUGGUUUGUUAUAUAUAGAACCCCUCCCCCUUUGGUUGUAUCAUCCCCAAAAUCUUCUCCUUUGUAAUAUUUCUAGAAGAAAUAUUAAUUUGGUAGUGUCCGAGGACGUAAGCUAAAUUGGUCGAACCUCGUUAAAUCUCUGGUAUUUUAUUUCUUAUUUGUUUGCUUAUAUUUAAUAGCUUUAUGUUGGUUAUAUUUAUUUACUUAUUAUUGCUAUAAAUAUCUAAGUGAGUUCUGUCUAGUUGUUGGGUUUUAAGCGGGACCAUUUGUGACCCCUCCAAUUUAACUGGGAAUUUUCUUAGUAUAAUUGUUGGCAUAAUAAUUAUCUAAAUAUUUCUGAUAAUAUUGUUAUUAAUAUUAUCGUCGCUUCCGCAACAAUUGGUAUCCGAGCCAAGGUUUUGUAGUAUGCUCUGUGUUUGCAGCUUAGUCUGAUCUUACACAUCAGAAACAUUUCCUAAAGCUUGUGGGUAUUCUGCAUUUGGAGGCUAUUAAGUAGAAGUUAUGGCAAAAUUGACAGAAGAAAAACCAUCCAUAUCAACAACUUCCACUUCGUACAUUUUGCCGAGGAUUGGAACUGCAAAUACGAGAUUUGUAGUGGAAAUUUUUGAUGGAACAGGUCAUUUCGGCAUGUGGCAAAGUGAGCUUCUAGAUGCCCUCUUUCAACAGGGUCUAGAUAUUGCCAUUGAGGAAGAAAAACCAGAAGGGGUUGAUGAUAAAGAAUGGAAGACCAUCAACCGAUUGGCAUGUGGUACAAUUCGAUCAUGUCUUUCCAGAGAGCAGAAGUAUACAUUCAGUAAAGAGACUUCUGCAAGUAAAUUGUGGAAAGCAUUGGAGGAGAAAUUCUUGAAGAAGAACAGUCAAAAUAAGUUGCAUAUGAAGAAAAGACUGUUUCGUUUCAAUUAUGUUCCUGGUACCACGAUGAACGAGCACAUUACCAAUUUUAAUCAGCUGGUGGCUGAUUUGUUGAAUUUGGAUGUGACUUUUGAAGACGAAGACUUGGCGUUAAUGUUGUUGGGAUCGCUUCCUGAGGAGUUUGAGUACCUUGAAACUACUCUACUUCAUGAAAAAUCGGAAGUAACUUUCAAUGAAGUAACUGCUGCAUUGUAUAGCUAUGAACUACGCCGAAAGGAUAAGUUGAAAGGUUCAGGUGAAGCAGCAGUGGAAGCAUUGGUAACAAGAGGUCGUCAGCAAAGUCAGUCUAAUGGGAAGAGAAGAAAGUCCAAAGGUCGAGCUGUUGCCAAAGAUGAAUGUUCCUUUUGCAAAGAAAAAGGACAUUGGAAGAAAGAUUGUCCAAAAUUGAAGAAAAAAGGGAAGACUCCGCAAGAUGCAAAUGUUGCAGAAUGCAAUAGUGAAGCAGAGUCAGACUUUUCUCUUAGUAUGACAUCUUCAACAUUAUAUGCAGAUGAGUGGAUCAUGGAUUCUGGUUGUUCCUAUCAUAUGUGUCCCAUUCGGGAAUGGUUCUUUGAAUUUCAAAAACUAGAUGAAGGGGUUGUUUACAUGGGUAAUGAUAACACAUGUAAAAUAGCCGGGAUAGGUUCAAUUAAACUGAGGAGUCAUGAUGGAUCUACUAGAAUUUUGCGGGAUGUACGAUAUGUCCCAAAGUUGAAGAAGAAUCUCAUCUCUUUGGGGUCGUUAGAAUCUAAAGGCCUAGUUGUGACAAUACGAGAUGGAGUUCUUAAAGCAACUUCAGGAGCAUUGGUGAUGUUGAAAGGCAUAAGAAAAAACAAUCUGUAUUACUACCAAGGUAGUACAGUGGUUGGGACAACAGCAGCAGCAAUUUCGAGUACCAAGAAGGACGCUGAGGCAACACAGCUGUGGCAUAUGCGUUUGGGCCAUGCUGGUGAAAAAUCCUUGCAAACUCUAGCCAAGCAAGGAUUAUUGAAAGGUACAAAGACUUGCAAACUUGAAUUUUGCGAGCAUUGUGUUCUGGGAAAACAACGAAGGGUGAAAUUUGGCACUGGGAUUCACAAUACUAAAGGUAUUCUGGAUUAUGUGCAUUCUGAUGUAUGGGGACCGUCCAAGACUCCAUCACUUGGAGGAAGACGUUAUUUUGUCACCUUUAUUGAUGAUUUUUCCAGACGAGUUUGGGUGUUUCCUAUGAAGAACAAAGAUGAGGUGCUUGAAGUUUUCCUUAAGUGGAAAACUAAAGUUGAAAAUCAGACAGGAAGGAAGAUUAAGGUUCUCCGAUCAGACAAUGGUGGAGAAUAUAAAAGCGAUCCAUUCCUGAAGAUAUGCCAAGAUUGUGGCAUAGUAAGGCACUUCACCGUAGGUGGAACACCGCAACAGAAUGGGGAAGCAGAGCGUAUGAAUCGAACGCUUGUGGAGAAAGUUCGAUGUAUGUUAUCUAAUGCUGGAUUAGAUAGAAAGUUUUGGGCUGAGGCUGUGACGUACGCUCAACAUCUCAUCAAUCAUUUGCCAUCAUCUGCUAUAAAUGGCAAGACUCCUUUGGAGAAAUGGUAUGGAAAACCUGCUACUGAUUAUGACACCUUGCGCAUUUUUGGUUCUAUUGCAUAUUAUCAUGUGAAAGAAUCAAAGUUAGAUCCAAGAGCAAAGAAGGCUCUAUUCAUGGGCUUCAAUGCUGGUGUUAAGGGAUAUCGUUUGUGGUGUCUAGAGGCAAAGAAGACGAUAAUCAGUAGGGAUGUUACCUUUCAUGAAUCUGCCAUGUUCAAUAAGGUAAAUCCAGAAGGAGUGAGUAGUACUUCGCAGCAGGUGGAGUGUACUCCGCAGCAGGUGGAGUUUGAGCAGAGUGUGGUAAUUCCAGCAGAAGGUACCACUAGUGAUUCUUCAUUGGCAGAUGCAGAGUCAGAUGAGGAAGAGGUUUCUACCCAAAAACCUCAACAGCAAUCAGAGCCAAUUGCAGUCAGAAGGCAGAGACGAGAAAUUCAGAAACCUGCUCGUUUCACUGACAUGGUAGCUUAUGCACUUCCAGUUGUUGAUAAUAUUCCAUCCACUUACACCAAAGCCAUUCAGAGUUUAGAGAAUAAUAGAUGGUUAGGUGCAAUGGAAGAGGAAAUGCAAUCUCUAGAGAAAAACAAGACGUAGAAGCUGGCACAACUACCAAAAGGGAAGAAGGCGAUUGGUUGCAAAUUUGAAGACACUAUUGAGGUUAGUGUUAUGAGAAGAUGUUCGAAGAUGUGGAAUAUCGCCAAGGUGGAGAUUUGUUGAAUAUUGGCAAUAUCCCACAUUAGGAAAAGAUAGAAAGGGAGGGGGUUUGGUUUGUUAUAUAUAGAACCCCUCCCCCUUUGGUUGUAUCAUCCCCAAAAUCUUCUCCUUUGUAAUAUUUCUAGAAGAAAUAUUAAUUUGGUAGUGUCCGAGGACGUAAGCUAAAUUGGCCGAACCUCGUUAAAUCUCUGGUAUUUUAUUUCUUAUUUGUUUGCUUAUAUUUAAUAGCUUUAUGUUGGUUAUAUUUAUUUAGUUAUUAUUGCUAUAAAUAUCUAAGUGAGUUCUGUCUAGUUGUUGGGUUUUAAGCGGGACCAUUUGUGACCCCUCCAAUUUAACUGGGAAUUUUCUUAGUAUAAUUGUUGGCAUAAUAAUUAUCUAAAUAUUUCUGAUAAUAUUGUUAUUAAUAUUAUCGUCGCUUCCGCAACAAUAAAUAACUAUUCUGGUCUUGUUCAGACAUAGCACUAAACCAUAAGUCAACUUAAAUCACGCAAGUAUUAAUUUUUGUGCAUUUUCUUAACCCAAUUGACAGAAAAAUGACUAAUUGAGAAACAUACCAGGUUCACAAAGAAAUCUUCAACAACAGUUGUAUUACUCUUUAAUAGAAAUGCUUCGUUCCUGUUUUAAAAACAAAAUCCACAUAAAUCUGCAUGUGCGGUUGAAGAUGAUAAGGAUCCUGAUGAAGUUUUUAUCCGCUCUUCACAACUGGAGCUUGAGGAUGAAUUUGUGGAAAUGGGAAUCGAUGGAAAUUGAUGGAAUUCAACCGGAGCUUGAGGAGCGAGAAUCGAUGGAAUUCGCUGGUAGGUAAGAAUUUGGUGGCUUUAGUUUGAAAUUGGAUCUAGGUUUAGGCUUGGAUAGGGUUGGUGAGGAUGGUUCAGAGGUGAAAAAGAUGGAGAAGGUUGGAAGGAAAUAGGAAUCAGAAGUGGAAAAAAAAAAGAAGAAAAAUGGUCAGAUGUGAGAAAGAAGAGAAGGGCAAAGUCGAUAAAAUUUCACG